rnacentral:rRNA from 1 species
CGGCCCAAACUCCUACGGGAGGCAGCAGUGGGGAAUAUUGCACAAUGGGGGAAACCCUGAUGCAGCGACGCCGCGUGAAGGACGAAGGUUUUCGGAUCGUAAACUUCUAUCAGCAGGGAGGAAGAAAUGACAGUACCUGAAUAAGCAGCCCCGGCUAACUACGUGCCAGCAGCCGCGGUAAUACGUAGGGGGCAAGCGUUAUCCGGAAUCACUGGGUGUAAAGGGUGCGUAGGCGGUAAUGCAAGUCAGAUGUGAAACCCCUUGGCUCAACCAAGGGCUUGCAUUUGAAACUGUGUUACUAGAGUGCAGGAGAGGAAAGCGGAAUUCCUAGUGUAGCGGUGAAAUGCGUAGAUAUUAGGAAGAACACCAGUGGCGAAGGCGGCUUUCUGGACUGUAACAGACGCUGAGGCACGAAAGCGUGGGUAGCGAACAGGAUUAGAUACCCUGGUAGUCCACGCCGUAAACGAUGAGUGCUAGGUGUUGGGGUCGAUAGAU